rnacentral:SRP_RNA from 13 species
GCCAGGCACGGUGGCCUGUGCCUGUAGUCCCAGCUACUCGGGAGGCUGAGGUGGGAGUAUCGCUUGAGCCCAGGAGUUCUGGGCUGUAGCGUGCUAUGCUGAUCAGAUGUCUGCACUAAGUUCGGCAUCAAUAUGGUGACCUCCCGGGAGUGGGGGACCACCAGGUUGCCUAAGAAGGGGUGAACCGGCCCAGGUCAGAAAUGGAGCAGGUCAAAACUCCCGUGCUGAUCAGUAGUGGGAUGGCACCUGUGAAUAGCCACUGCACUCCAGCCUGGGCAACAUAGCAAGAUGCCCAUCUCUU